GACGAACGCUGGCGGCGUGCUUAACACAUGCAAGUCGAACGGAGAGGCCCUGCUUUUGUGGGGUGCUCGAGUGGCGAACGGGUGAGUAACACGUGAGUAACCUGCCCUUGACUUUGGGAUAACUUCAGGAAACUGGGGCUAAUACCGGAUAGGAGCUCCUGCUGCAUGGUGGGGGUUGGAAAGUUUCGGCGGUUGGGGAUGGACUCGCGGCUUAUCAGCUUGUUGGUGGGGUAGUGGCUUACCAAGGCUUUGACGGGUAGCCGGCCUGAGAGGGUGACCGGCCACAUUGGGACUGAGAUACGGCCCAGACGCCUACGGGAGGCAGCAGUGGGGAAUAUGGCACAAUGGGCGGAAGCCUGAUGCAGCAACGCCGCGUGCGGGAUGACGGCCUUCGGGUUGUAAACCGCUUUCGCCUGCGACGAAGCGUGAGUGACGGUAAUGGGUAAAGAAGCACCGGCUAACUACGU
rnacentral:rRNA from 1 species